UUUAUGAGAGUUUGAUCCUGGCUCAGAACGAACGCUGGCGGCGCGCCUAAUACAUGCAAGUCGAGCGAGAAGACGUAGCAAUACGUUUGUAAAGCGGCGAACGGGUGAGGAAUACAUGGGUAACCUACCCUCGAGUGGGGAAUAACUAGCCGAAAGGUUAGCUAAUACCGCGUACGCUCCUUGGACUUCGGUUCAGGGAGGAAAGCGAGGCCGUGGGUCUCGCGCUCUUGGAUGGGCUCAUGUCCUAUCAGCUUGUUGGUGAGGUAACGGCUCACCAAGGCUUCGACGGGUAGCUGGUCUGAGAGGACGAUCAGCCACACUGGCACUGCGACACGGGCCAGACUCCUACGGGAGG
rnacentral:rRNA from 1 species